CCUGUUUUGUGCAAGACAACAAAGAAACAAAGAAAGAAGGGAGGAAGGGGAUUGUUGGCAGGCCGAGAGCCACCGGCGACGGCCAUCGGCUUCAGCCGUGAUCCCGUCGGUGCGGGCGUCGGCUGCUGGCAGACCAAGGGAGCGGCCGCGAGCAUCCCGCAGUGCCGCCGGCUUCUCCCGGCCUCUCUUCCCCGUGGGAGAAGAGAAGGCCGCCGCAGGCGCGGCCGUGGGCUCAGCCGCAGGCGCGGCUGUGGACGCCGCGAGCCCGGCCGUGGCACCGCCGACUGUGGCUCGGCCCUCCCAAACCCCCCUUCUUUCUUCACAGGGGAAGAAUGAAGAGAGGAAGAGAGAGGGUUUGGGAGUGAGAGAGAGAGAAUAUGGGGUUGGUG
rnacentral:lncRNA from 1 species